rnacentral:rRNA from 1 species
GAUGAACGCUGGCGGCGUGCCUAAUACAUGCAAGUCGAGCGAACAGACGAGGAGCUUGCUCCUCUGACGUUAGCGGCGGACGGGUGAGUAACACGUGGAUAACCUAUCUAUAAGACUGGGAUAACUUCGGGAAACCGGAGCUAAUACCGGAUAAUAUAUUGAACCGCAUGGUUCAAUAGUGAAAGACGGUUUUGCUGUCACUUAUAGAUGGAUCCGCGCCGCAUUAGCUAGUUGGUAAGGUAACGGCUUACCAAGGCGACGAUGCGUAGCUGACCUGAGAGGGUGAUCGGCCACACUGGAACUGAGACACGGUCCAGACUCCUACGGGAGGCAGCAGUAGGGAAUCUUCGGCAAUGGGCGAAAGCCUGACGGAGCAACGCCGCGUGAGUGAUGAAGGUCUUCGGAUCGUAAAACUCUGUUAUUAGGGAAGAACAAAUGUGUAAGUAACUAUGCACGUCUUGACGGUACCUAAUCAGAAAGCCACGGCUAACUACGUG